CUCACUCACUCACUCACUCUCUCUCUCUCUCUCUCUCUCUCUCUCUCUCUCUCUCUCUCUCACACACACACACACACACACACACACACUUGUCCUCUGAUCCUCGCUCUGCUGAAGAAUGCGCUGAAAGACGGGGAAGAGCCGAAAGUCUGCCACCACUUUCAUAUGAAAUUUAAAGGGGACUGAGGAGAUCACCAAUUUGUGUAGAGUUUAUGGAGAAUCGCAGAAUUUUAGGGGGGCUGAGUAGAAAUGUUAGGGGGCUAAAGCCCCACUAAAAAUGCCCUGGCGACGCCCAUGCUCGUUCAUGGACACGUUUUGUUGUUCUGAGGUUACACCACAAGCAGGGGCGGACUUAACCAAUAAGCGAGUGGAUCAGACCCAUGAACUCAUGUUCUGCCUAGAAGAACUGACCUCUAGCACAGGUUUCCCCAUCUCUCUGGUGGAGGAAACUCAUCCAGCUCACCCACUCCACAGUACUGUCUCUCACCAAGGAGGAACAUCAGCUUAUAGCGCAGACGCACCUUAUCCUGAAAUACACACACACACACACACACACACA